rnacentral:rRNA from 1 species
AUGAACGCUAGCUACAGGCUUAACACAUGCAAGUCGAGGGGCAUCAGGAAGAAAGCUUGCUUUCUUUGCUGGCGACCGGCGCACGGGUGAGUAACACGUAUCCAACCUGCCCUUUACUCGGGGAUAGCCUUUCGAAAGAAAGAUUAAUACCCGAUGGCAUAAUGAUUCCGCAUGGUUUCAUUAUUAAAGGAUUCCGGUAAAGGAUGGGGAUGCGUUCCAUUAGGUUGUUGGUGAGGUAACGGCUCACCAAGCCUUCGAUGGAUAGGGGUUCUGAGAGGAAGGUCCCCCACAUUGGAACUGAGACACGGUCCAAACUCCUACGGGAGGCAGCAGUGAGGAAUAUUGGUCAAUGGGCGCUAGCCUGAACCAGCCAAGUAGCGUGAAGGAUGAAGGCUCUAUGGGUCGUAAACUUCUUUUAUAUAAGAAUAAAGUGCAGUAUGUAUACUGUUUUGUAUGUAUUAUAUGAAUAAGGAUCGGCUAACUCCGUGCCAGCAGCCGCGGUAAUACGGAGGAUCCGAGCGUUAUCCGGAUUUAUUGGGUUUAAAGGGAGCGUAGGUGGACUGGUAAGUCAGUUGUGAAAGUUUGCGGCUCAACCGUAAAAUUGCAGUUGAUACUGUCAGUCUUGAGUACAGUAGAGGUGGGCGGAAUUCGUGGUGUAGCGGUGAAAUGCUUAGAUAUCACGAAGAACUCCGAUUGCGAAGGCAGCUCACUGGACUGCAACUGACACUGAUGCUCGAAAGUGUGGGUAUCAAACAGGAUUAGAUACCCUGGUAGUCCACACAGUAAACGAUGAAUACUCGCUGUUUGCGAUAUACAGUAAGCGGCCAAGCGAAAGCAUUAAGUAUUCCACCUGGGGAGUACGCCGGCAACGGUGAAACUCAAAGGAAUUGACGGGGGCCCGCACAAGCGGAGGAACAUGUGGUUUAAUUCGAUGAUACGCGAGGAACCUUACCCGGGCUUAAAUUGCAGUGGAAUGAUGUGGAAACAUGUCAGUGAGCAAUCACCGCUGUGAAGGUGCUGCAUGGUUGUCGUCAGCUCGUGCCGUGAGGUGUCGGCUUAAGUGCCAUAACGAGCGCAACCCUUAUCUUUAGUUACUAACAGGUUAUGCUGAGGACUCUAGAGAGACUGCCGUCGUAAGAUGUGAGGAAGGUGGGGAUGACGUCAAAUCAGCACGGCCCUUACGUCCGGGGCUACACACGUGUUACAAUGGGGGGUACAGAAGGCAGCUAGCGGGUGACCGUAUGCUAAUCCCAAAAGCCUCUCUCAGUUCGGAUCGAAGUCUGCAACCCGACUUCGUGAAGCUGGAUUCGCUAGUAAUCGCGCAUCAGCCACGGCGCGGUGAAUACGUUCCCGGGCCUUGUACACACCGCCCGUCAAGCCAUGGGAGCCGGGGGUACCUGAAGUACGUAACCGCAAGGAUCGUCCUA